rnacentral:rRNA from 1 species
UAGUAACGGCGAGUGAAGCGGCAACAGCUCAAAUUUGAAAGCUGGCCUUCGGGUCCGCAUUGUAAUUUGUAGAGGAUGCUUUGGGGCAGCCGCCUGUCUAAGUUCCUUGGAACAGGACGUCAUAGAGGGUGAGAAUCCCGUAUGUGACAGGACAUGGCACCCUAUGUAAAGCUCCUUCGACGAGUCGAGUUGUUUGGGAAUGCAGCUCUAAAUGGGAGGUAAAUUUCUUCUAAAGCUAAAUACCGGCGAGAGACCGAUAGCGCACAAGUAGAGUGAUCGAAAGAUGAAAAGCACUUUGGAAAGAGAGUUAAAAAGCACGUGAAAUUGUUGAAAGGGAAGCGCUUGCAAUCAGACUUGUUUUGACUGUUCGGCCGGUCUUCUGACCGGUUUACUCAGUCUGGACAGGCCAGCAUCAGUUUUGGCGGCCGGAUAAAGGCUCAGGGAAUGUGGCUCUCACUUCGGUGGGAGUGUUAUAGCCCUGGGUGUAAUACGGCCAGCCGGGACUGAGGUCCGCGCUUCGGCUAGGAUGCUGGCGUAAUGGUUGUAAGCGACC